rnacentral:rRNA from 1 species
UACAGAGGUCCCAAGCGUUGUUCGGAUUCACUGGGCGUAAAGGGUGCGUAGGUGGUCGGGUAAGUCUGAUGUGAAAUCUUCGAGCUCAACUCGAAAAUGGCAUUGGAUACUAUUCGGCUGGAGGGUUGGAAGGGGGACUGGAAUUCCAGGUGUAGCGGUGAAAUGCGUAGAUAUCUGGAGGAACACCGGUGGCGAAGGCGGCGUUCUGGACUGCAACUGACACUGAUGAACGAAAGCCAGGGGAGCAAACGGG